UCGUCUCCGUUUCUUGGCAGAUUUGGUUCGAUGUGGUGAAGGUGAUGUUUGCAUUAACCUCUGGAAAUCUGAUGGUUGGAAAAUCGAAUUAGAUAUGGGUCCUUCCUUUGCACUUUCAAUUUUGUCGGAUUUGGUUGAUCGGCUACUCUGCAGUGGUGCGGAGAUCCAGAUUGGUUCUCAAUGAAGAUUCAUCAUGGAGGCAGGUUCUAUAGGUU
rnacentral:lncRNA from 1 species